UUUUUUUGUAACAGAGAUAUUUCUUCGGAGCGAAGAUGAUAGUGACUACAGGUCAUCUGGAUGGGUGUAAGAUAUUUAAAGAGCAAAGAAGAUAUAUAUAUAUAUGUAGUGCGUUAUGGACAACUCUGUCAAUGCGCUGAUAUGUACAGCUUGAAUAGUAUGAAUAGAAGACUAGUGGGGGACCAUACACAAUGUUAAUAUGCCAUGCCAAUACCACUAAACCGCAAACCUUGGCAGAUUAUGAAAUGAAAUGUAAAAGACACCGAGGCAGAAUAGUUAUGAGAAGUUGCAUAAUUAAUUAAUGCAAUGCGUAAUUUGCGAUAAAUCGAUAGACUUCAAGUGACUCGAGCUACUGAGUGUAAAGAGAGAAAUGAUGAAUAGAAUUUAUAGAAGGGAAGGCUACUUUAACUUGUGUAUUUUAUAACGCUAUAUGCAGGUGUAAAUUUAUUUUGUGCUAAAUUAUCUGUCACGCCUUCUGUUUAACUGAAAUAUUUCUCAAUAGUAAAAUAAAUAUAUUUUAAAAUAAUACUUGCAAACACUCGUUAAAAUGCACUCGCGAAAAAAUUUUUUAAGUAAAUUGUUUGAACAAAAUAAAUUUCUAAGUAAUAUUCUUCAUUGUACAAGCAAUUUUAUACUGGUAAUAAUUUAGUAGGACAAUUUACUUGUUAGACUGUCGCGGUGUAUUAUACUGUUGAGGUAACUAACUGAUAAAAUAAGUGCAAUUGUCUUUUUAAGGAUUUAAAAAAAAAAAAAAAAAAAAAAAAAAGAUAAGACAUCGAUAGUUGAUAAACAAAAAGUAGUUUAAUUGUUAGAAUAAUUGACUUAGGAAAAAUUAUAAGUCUGAAGUUUAAGUUCUAGGCAAAUAAGUAAACAUGUAUUACAAUUUAAAGUGCAAUUGAAGAGUUAUGAAUCAUUAUAAUGA